rnacentral:rRNA from 1 species
UACGAAGGGGGCUAGCGUUGUUCGGAAUUACUGGGCGUAAAGCGCGCGCAGGCGGCUCCUCAAGUCAGGGGUGAAAGCCCAAGGCUCAACCUUGGAAUUGCCUUUGAAACUGUGGAGCUUGAGUACGGGAGAGGUGAGUGGAAUUCCCAGUGUAGAGGUGAAAUUCGUAGAUAUUGGGAAGAACACCGGUGGCGAAGGCGGCUCACUGGCCCGUUUCUGACGCUCAGGCGCGACAGCGUGGGGAU